rnacentral:rRNA from 1 species
AUACGGAGGAUCCGAGCGUUAUCCGGAUUUAUUGGGUUUAAAGGGAGCGUAGGCGGGAGAUCAAGUCAGCUGUGAAAUGUAGGCGCUCAACGUGUGCACUGCAGUUGAAACUGGUUUUCUUGAGUGCGUAAGGGGCAGGCGGAAUUCGUCGUGUAGCGGUGAAAUGCUUAGAUAUGACGAAGAACUCCGAUCGCAAAGGCAGUUUGCCGGGCCGCAACUGACGCUGAAGCUCGAAGGUGCGGGUAUCGAACAGGAUUAGAUACCCUGGUAGUCCGCACAGUAAACGAUGGAUACUCGCUGUCGGCGAUAUACGGUCGGUGGCCAAGCGAAAGCGUUAAGUAUCCCACCUGGGGAGUACGCCGGCAACGGUGAAACUCAAAGGAAUUGACGGGG